rnacentral:rRNA from 1 species
CCUACGGGAGGCAGCAGUGAGGAAUAUUGGUCAAUGGCCGUAAGGCUGAACCAGCCAAGUCGCGUGAAGGAAGAAGGAUCUAUGGUUUGUAAACUUCUGUUAUAGGGGAAUAAAGGGAGACACGAGUGGAGAUUUGCAUGUAGCCUAUGAAUAAGCAUCGGCUAACUCCGUGCCAGCAGCCGCGGUAAUACGGAGGAUGCUAGCGUUAUCCGGAUUUCUUGGGUUUACGGGGUGCGUAGGAUGUUUUUUAAGUCAGCGGUGAAAGUUUGUGGCUCAACCAUAAAAUUGCCGUUGAAACUGGCAGACUUGAGUGUGUUUGAGGUAGUCGGAAUGCGUGGUGUAGCGGU